GUCCGCGACUCUGUGGCGCAGUGGGUCAGCGCGCCUGGCUGUUGAUCAGAAGCAUGGUGGUUCAAGCCCACCUUGGGACG